GGUUUGGACUAUUUAUAACCACACAGCCGCAGGCUUUGCUGUUUGGAUUGAAGAGCAGAGCAACUCAGCGGAAGGGGAGGUAGGAGAAGACUCUUCACAAAAUGGUAAGAUUUCUGCAUCUUUUCUUUUCCUUUUGGCUUGUAUUUCAAAUUGAUCCUCUACUUUACUUGCAACGUGAAACUUCUUCUCGAUUGCUGAGAAAAUUUAGGGUUACAGCGAGAAUAAGCUUCUUUCUUUAAGUUGAUUCUUCUAGUUUGGAUUUUGAAGUGGAGGCACAUUACCUAUUUGUAAAGUUAUUUGAAUUAUUAAACUGCUGAUUCAGUUACUUGUAUUAGAAGAUCAAUAUUAACAAGUUGCUCGAAAUUUCCAUUGAAUCUUUAAUUUUUGGUGCAUUUCAGGCAAGAGGGCUGAAGAAACACU
rnacentral:misc_RNA from 1 species